UACAGAGGGUGCGAGCGUUGUCCGGAAUCACUGGGCGUAAAGGCGCGUAGGCGGCCUGAUAAGUAGGGGUGAAAUCCUGUGGCUUAACUGCAGGCUGCCUCCUAGACUGUUAGGCUCGAGCACGGUAGAGGCAGAUGGAAUUCCCGGUGUAGCGGUGGAAUGCGUAGAGAUCGGGAAGAACAUCGGUGGCGAAGGCGGUCUCUGGGCCGAUACUGGACGCUGAGGAGCGAAAGCGUGGGAGCGAACAGG
rnacentral:rRNA from 1 species